AUUGAACGCUGGCGGCAGGCCUAACACAUGCAAGUCGAACGAGUGGCGGACGGGUGAGUAAUGUCUGGGAAACUGCCCGAUGGAGGGGGAUAACUACUGGAAACGGUAGCUAAUACCGCAUACCAUCGGAUGUGCCCAGAUGGGAUUAGCUUGUAGGUGAGUUAACGGCUACCCUAGGCGACGAUCCCUAGCUGGUCUGAGAGGAUGACCGGCCAAAUUGGAACUGUGACACGGUCCAGACUCCUACGUGAGGCAGCAGUGGGGAAUAUUGUACAAUGGGCGCAAGCCUGAUGCAGCCAUGCCGCGUGUAUGAAGAAGGCCUUCGUGUUGUAAAGUACUUGCAGCGGGGAGGCGGUACCCGCAGAAGAAGCACCGGCUAACUCCGUGCCAUCCGCCGCGGUAAGUC
rnacentral:rRNA from 1 species